GGCAAUAGGCGUCACCAAAAAUAAAGGCUGCACCUACUUGAAAAAUUUUCUAAGUCCAAACAAGGGGAUAUGUCCCAUUAUCCCAUUACCUGUUACAUAUCAAAAUUAACUUCUAACCUUUGUGUAGUUAUACUAUCGUGGUGACUGGGGGGGUAAUGAAACCUGUGUUCGAAAGUUUUUGUGAAGUAUGUCAUAUUCCAAGGGAAAAUUCAAACAAAUCUAAUGGUGGUUCUGUGUGUUUUCGUCCUAAAGUGUGUUUUGCAAGUGAAGCCCACAAAGUGCUUGGUUUUUAUGUUACAUGUCUUGUAAUCAACUAUGUCAGCUGUCAAACCAAAAAACUAUUCACAACCCAUUAUGUUGCAUUCAUCAAACUAUUCUGGUGCUCAUUGAGAGGUUCAGCUCAUGAAACUUCAUUUGUAAUGGAUACUUUCCGUUGAGGAAUGUCAUGAAUGAUGCAAAUACUGUGGUGCACCAAAUUCUUCUUAUGCUGCAGUGCCAACUGUAACAACAGCCAUUUCGGCAGUUGUAAUCUCUACUUAGCCUACCAACAGACAUAGACAUGUACCUCAACACAAUUUCUAUUGGACUGCCAACUCUUUGCCGUCUGCUGCCUAUUUGCUGGCCCUACAGUAUUUCUAGCCAUUGGACAACAGAAAACAAAACCUUCUUCCUCUUCUCCACGCCCGUCAUUCCGUCUUCGCUUCGCCUGUCUUCUGGUCUUCGCCUCGCCCGUCGUCCCGUCUUCACCUCGCCCGUCGUCCCGUCUUCGCCUCGCCCGUUGUCCCGUUUUCGCUUCGCCCGUCGUC